rnacentral:rRNA from 1 species
GACGAACGCUGGCGGCGUGCCUAAUACAUGCAAGUAGGACGCACAGUUUAUACCGUAGCUUGCUACACCAUAGACUGUGAGUUGCGAACGGGUGAGUAACGCGUAGGUAACCUGCCUAUUAGAGGGGGAUAACUAUUGGAAACGAUAGCUAAUACCGCAUAACAGUAUGUAACACAUGUUAGAUGCUUGAAAGAUGCAAUUGCAUCGCUAGUAGAUGGACCUGCGUUGUAUUAGCUAGUAGGUAGGGUAAUGGCCUACCUAGGCGACGAUACAUAGCCGACCUGAGAGGGUGAUCGGCCACACUGGGACUGAGACACGGCCCAGACUCCUACGGGAGGCAGCAGUAGGGAAUCUUCGGCAAUGGGGGGAACCCUGACCGAGCAACGCCGCGUGAGUGAAGAAGGUUUUCGGAUCGUAAAGCUCUGUUGUAAGAGAAGAACGGGUGUGAGAGUGGAAAGUUCACACUGUGACGGUAUCUUACCAGAAAGGGACGGCUAACUACGUGCCAGCAGCCGCGGUAAUACGUAGGUCCCGAGCGUUGUCCGGAUUUAUUGGGCGUAAAGCGAGCGCAGGCGGUUAGAUAAGUCUGAAGUUAAAGGCUGUGGCUUAACCAUAGUACGCUUUGGAAACUGUUUAACUUGAGUGCAGAAGGGGAGAGUGGAAUUCCAUGUGUAGCGGUGAAAUGCGUAGAUAUAUGGAGGAACACCAGUGGCGAAGGCGGCUUGCUAGCCAAAGACUGACGCUCAUGCACGAAAGCGUGGGGAGCAAAUAGGAUUAGAUACCCUAGUAGUCCACGCCGUAAACGAUGAAUACUAAGUAUUGGGGAAAACUCAGUGCUGCAGCUAACGCAAUAAGUAUUCCGCCUGUGGGAGUAUGCACGCAAGUGUGAAACAUAAAGGAAUUGACGGGGGCCCGCACAAGCGGUGGAGUAUGUGGUUUAAUUCGACGCAACGCGAAGAACCUUACCAGGCCUUGACAUCCCUUGCAAAGCUGUAGAGAUACAGUAGAGGUUAUCAAGGAGACAGGUGGUGCAUGGUUGUCGUCAGUUCGUGUCGUGAGAUGUUGGGUUAAGUCCCGCAACGAGCGCAACCCUUGCCUUCAGUUACCAGCAUUCAGUUGGGGACUCUGGAGGGACUGCCGGUGAUAAACCGGAGGAAGGUGGGGAUGACGUCAAAUCAUCAUGCCCCUUAUGGCCUGGGCUACACACGUACUACAAUGGCUGGUACAACGAGUCGCAAGUCGGUGACGGCAAGCUAAUCUCUUAAAGCCAGUCUCAGUUCGGAUUGUAGGCUGCAACUCGCCUACAUGAAGUCGGAAUCGCUAGUAAUCGCGGAUCAGCACGCCGCGGUGAAUACGUUCCCGGGCCUUGUACACACCGCCCGUCACACCACGAGGGUUUGUAACACCCGAAGUCGGUGAGGUAACCUUUUAGGAGCCAGCCGCCUAAGGUGGGAUAGAUGAUUGGGGUG